rnacentral:miRNA from 10 species
UGAGGCAGGAGAAUUGCUUGAACCCAGGAGGUGGAGGUUACAGUGAGCCGAGAUAGUGCCACUGCACUCCAGCCUGGGUGACACAGCGGGACUCCGUCUC